rnacentral:rRNA from 1 species
AGAGUUUGAUCCUGGCUCAGAUUGAACGCUGGCGGAAUGCUUUACACAUGCAAGUCGAACGGCAGCACGGGGCAACCUGGUGGCGAGUGGCGAACGGGUGAGUAAUACAUCGGAACGUGCCCAAUCGUGGGGGAUAACGUAGCGAAAGUUACGCUAAUACCGCAUACGAUCUACGGAUGAAAGCGGGGGAUCGCAAGACCUCGCGCGAAUGGAGCGGCCGAUGUCAGAUUAGGUAGUUGGUGGGGUAAAGGCUCACCAAGCCAACGAUCUGUAGCUGGUCUGAGAGGACGACCAGCCACACUGGAACUGAGACACGGUCCAGACUCCUACGGGAGGCAGCAGUGGGGAAUUUUGGACAAUGGGCGCAAGCCUGAUCCAGCCAUUCCGCGUGCAGGAUGAAGGCCUUCGGGUUGUAAACUGCUUUUGUACGGAACGAAACGGCGAGCUCUAAUACAGUUUGCUAAUGACGGUACCGUAAGAAUAAGCACCGGCUAACUACGUGCCAGCAGCCGCGGUAAUACGUAGGGUGCAAGCGUUAAUCGGAGUUACUGGGCGUAAAGCGUGCGCAGGCGGUUAUAUAAGACAGAUGUGAAAUCCCCGGGCUCAACCUGGGAACUGCAUUUGUGACUGUAUGGCUAGAGUACGGCAGAGGGGGAUGGAAUUCCGCGUGUAGCAGUGAAAUGCGUAGAUAUGCGGAGGAACACCGAUGGCGAAGGCAAUCCCCUGGGCCUGUACUGACGCUCAUGCACGAAAGCGUGGGGAGCAAACAGGAUUAGAUACCCUGGUAGUCCACGCCCUAA